rnacentral:piRNA from 1 species
UGGGGUGCGAGGCUAAGCACUG